UACGUAGGGGGCUAGCGUUGUCCGGAAUCAUUGGGCGUAAAGCGCGCGUAGGCGGCCAGAUAAGUCCGGUGUGAAAGUCACAGGCUCAACCUGUGAAUGCCGCUGGAAACUGCCUGGCUUGAGUCCGGAAGGGGCGAGUGGAAUUCCGUGGUGUAGCGGUGAAAUGCGCAGAUAUCAGGAGGAACACCAAUGGCGAAGGCAGCUCGCUGGAACGGUACUGACGCUGAGGCGCGAAAGCGUGGGGAGCGAACAGG
rnacentral:rRNA from 1 species